rnacentral:misc_RNA from 1 species
AUUUUGCAGCAUUUUUGAGGGACAAGUUCAAAAAGAUUGUUUCAUCAGCAGUAGUAUGCGCACGCUGCAGCAUUUUGGGUCCGGAGGUACUACAUGGGAGUGAGACGAUUCGUCGUAUCACUCCUGCUACUCAGUAGCUCUGCUACCUAGUAGCACCCGCUACCUAGUAGCUCAGACCUCGCAGUAGCGUCGCUUCGCUCGCUACAGCUCGGUUUUUGGCCCCGCGUAUUUACGCUCAAGUCUCGGGCUGACAACGUCUCCCCGAGCAAGGUGAAACAGUGGAUUACUAGGCAAUGCCAAAUCUACAAACCCAAGAUCUUUCGAUCUAUUUGCUACGAGUCGGUGGACUUCAAACCAAAAUAACUUCUUC